UACGGAGGGUGCAAGCGUUAUCCGGAUUUACUGGGUUUAAAGGGUGCGUAGGCGGGUCUUUAAGUCAGUGGUGAAAUCCUCCCGCUUAACGGGAGAACUGCCAUUGAUACUAUUGGUCUUGAAUUCAGUUGAGGUGGGCGGAAUGUGUCGUGUAGCGGUGAAAUGCUUAGAUAUGACACAGAACACCGAUUGCGAAGGCAGCUCGCUAAACUGACAUUGACGCUGAGGCACGAAAGCGUGGGGAUCAAACAGG
rnacentral:rRNA from 1 species